UUUUCAACAUAAGGCAUACUUUAUAAUGGGAUUGAUCUCAUGACUUUUCAUCUAGCACCGUGUGAUUGACAGUUAUGGUUUUGAGGGAAAUAUUGACAACUAUUGGAUGGAUUGCCGUGAAAUGUGCUACAGAUAUUAAAGAUAGGAGUGGUGGAGAGAGUGUAUAAUGGCCCCACUCUGCUCUGUGACAGUGCUCUGAAAGCUUCAGUGCCAUCGGACAUGAACAAAGAUCCCGCGACCUCAGGAUGUUCAGAGCAGCCUACUGUAUCCGGGACUGGGACUCUUUGGUUUGCUUUGGUGGUCUGUCUCUGCUUGGUAGGGGGUUUUGUCCUGCAUUAACCUCCCAACCUAAUCUCUGCAGGAGCUGGGUCUGGAAGGAAGACUUUGAUGAUGUUUGUGUUUCAUUAUAUGUGCGAGUGCUGAUACAGUAUCGUGGUAAAAAGCCACUGACAUAAUCCAGAGGAGGCUCACUCACCUUUCACCAGGAUGCUAUAAAGCGGUGGCAGCAA